AUUGAACGCUGGCGGCAGGCCUAACACAUGCAAGUCGAACGGUAACAGGAAGCAGCUUGCUGCUUUGCUGACGAGUGGCGGACGGGUGAGUAAUGUCUGGGAAACUGCCCGAUGGAGGGGGAUAACUACUGGAAACGGUGGCUAAUACCGCAUAACGUCGCAAGACCAAAGAGGGGGACCUUAUGGCCUCUUGCCAUCGGAUGUGCCCAGAUGGGAUUAGCUAGUAGGUGGGGUAACGGCUCACCUAGGCGACGAUCCCUAGCUGGUCUGAGAGGAUGACCAGCCACACUGGAACUGAGACACGGUCCAGACUCCUACGGGAGGCAGCAGUGGGGAAUAUUGCACAAUGGGCGCAAGCCUGAUGCAGCCAUGCCGCGUGUAUGAAGAAGGCCUUCGGGUUGUAAAGUACUUUCAGCGGGGAGGAAGGGAGUAAAGUUAAUACCUUUGCUCAUUGACGUUACCCGCAGAAGAAGCACCGGCUAACUCCGUG
rnacentral:rRNA from 1 species